rnacentral:rRNA from 1 species
UACGUAGGUGACCAGCGUUGUCCGGAUUCACUGGGCGUAAAGGGUGCGCAGGCGGUUGGGUGUGUCCGAUGUGAAAUCCCGAGGCUUAACCUCGGAACUGCGUCUGAAACUACUCGACUAGAGUACUGGAGAGGGAAACGGAAUUCACGGUGUAGCAGUGAAAUGCGUAGAUAUCGUGAGGAACACCAGAGGCGAAGGCGGUUUCCUGGACAGUUACUGACGCUCAGGCACGAAAGCAUGGGGAGCAAAAGGG